UCCCCUGUAGCUCAGUUGGUAGAGCAGGCGACUGUUAAUCGCCGGGUCGUAGGUUCGAGUCCUACCGGGGGAGCUA
rnacentral:tRNA from 1 species